rnacentral:lncRNA from 1 species
GUUUGACUACUGUUAUUUUCUUUUUUUUUGUAUUAUGAUGAAUAUAAGUUUGAAGUAUUGAAUAGUGCUUCUAAUCAAAAUCCGUUGUACCGUAGCGGGCGUACCGUACCAGGCAGAUAUACCAUACCAUACUGGUACCGAACCAAUACGCGGUCUUGUAUCGUAUCGACACUUGGUACGUCUCACCGUCUUGUACCAUACCAUGUACUAACAUUGUAAUAAGAAGGUACCGGUACGGGGUCUAGUACCGAGACAACAAACCUUCUAAUAAUUUAUUCUUUUUAUUAGUUAAGUAAUGGAUGUAUUUGUCUUUCAAACUGUGGCAUUGAAGUAGAUAUUUAAAAUUCAAAGAAUAAAUUUCCAUUCAAUUAUGAUAAUAUGCAUAGAUCAUCCAUAAAUUAUUGUUGAAUAUAAUUUUCCUUGCUUUCAAAGAGAUAUUUUUAUAUAACUAGUUUUAAUAUAUGUCUUAUGUUAAGUCCUAUUUGGAAAAAUUCUAAAUUUAUCCC